rnacentral:rRNA from 1 species
UUGAAGAGUUUGAUCAUGGCUCAGAUUGAACGCUGGCGGCAGGCCUAACACAUGCAAGUCGAGCGGUAGCACAGAGAGCUUGCUCUCGGGUGACGAGCGGCGGACGGGUGAGUAAUGUCUGGGAAACUGCCUGAUGGAGGGGGAUAACUACUGGAAACGGUAGCUAAUACCGCAUAACGUCGCAAGACCAAAGUGGGGGACCUUCGGGCCUCAUGCCAUCAGAUGUGCCCAGAUGGGAUUAGCUAGUAGGUGGGGUAACGGCUCACCUAGGCGACGAUCCCUAGCUGGUCUGAGAGGAUGACCAGCCACACUGGAACUGAGACACGGUCCAGACUCCUACGGGAGGCAGCAGUGGGGAAUAUUGCACAAUGGGCGCAAGCCUGAUGCAGCCAUGCCGCGUGUGUGAAGAAGGCCUUCGGGUUGUAAAGCACUUUCAGCGGGGAGGAAGGCGGUGAGGUUAAUAACCUCAUCGAUUGACGUUACCCGCAGAAGAAGCACCGGCUAACUCCGUGCCAGCAGCCGCGGUAAUACGGAGGGUGCAAGCGUUAAUCGGAAUUACUGGGCGUAAAGCGCACGCAGGCGGUCUGUCAAGUCGGAUGUGAAAUCCCCGGGCUCAACCUGGGAACUGCAUUCGAAACUGGCAGGCUAGAGUCUUGUAGAGGGGGGUAGAAUUCCAGGUGUAGCGGUGAAAUGCGUAGAGAUCUGGAGGAAUACCGGUGGCGAAGGCGGCCCCCUGGACAAAGACUGACGCUCAGGUGCGAAAGCGUGGGGAGCAAACAGGAUUAGAUACCCUGGUAGUCCACGCCGUAAACGAUGUCGAUUUGGAGGUUGUGCCCUUGAGGCGUGGCUUCCGGAGCUAACGCGUUAAAUCGACCGCCUGGGGAGUACGGCCGCAAGGUUAAAACUCAAAUGAAUUGACGGGGGCCCGCACAAGCGGUGGAGCAUGUGGUUUAAUUCGAUGCAACGCGAAGAACCUUACCUGGUCUUGACAUCCACAGAACUUAGCAGAGAUGCUUUGGUGCCUUCGGGAACUGUGAGACAGGUGCUGCAUGGCUGUCGUCAGCUCGUGUUGUGAAAUGUUGGGUUAAGUCCCGCAACGAGCGCAACCCUUAUCCUUUGUUGCCAGCGGUCCGGCCGGGAACUCAAAGGAGACUGCCAGUGAUAAACUGGAGGAAGGUGGGGAUGACGUCAAGUCAUCAUGGCCCUUACGACCAGGGCUACACACGUGCUACAAUGGCAUAUACAAAGAGAAGCGACCUCGCGAGAGCAAGCGGACCUCAUAAAGUAUGUCGUAGUCCGGAUUGGAGUCUGCAACUCGACUCCAUGAAGUCGGAAUCGCUAGUAAUCGUAGAUCAGAAUGCUACGGUGAAUACGUUCCCGGGCCUUGUACACACCGCCCGUCACACCAUGGGAGUGGGUUGCAAAAGAAGUAGGUAGCUUAACCUUCGGGAGGGCGCUUACCACUUUGUGAUUCAUGACUGGGGUGAAGUCGUAACAAGGUAACCGUAGGGGAACCUGCGGUUGGAUCACCUCCUU